rnacentral:rRNA from 1 species
AUUGAACGCUGGCGGCAGGCCUAACACAUGCAAGUCGAACGAGUGGCGGACGGGUGAGUCAUGUCUGGGAAAAUGCCUGAUGGAGGGGGAUAACUCCUGGAAACGGUAGCUAAUACCGCAUACCAUCGGAUGUGCCCAGAUGGGAUUAGCUAGUAGGUGGGGUAACGGCUCAACUGGGCGCCGAUCCCUAGCUGGUCUGAGAGGAUGACCAGCCACACUGGAACUGAGACACGGUCCAGCCUCCUACGGGAGGCAGCAGUGGGGAAUAUUGCACAAUGGGCGCAAGCCUGAUGCAGCCAUGCCGCGUGUAUGAAGAAGGCAUUCGGGUUGUAAAGUACUUUCAGCGGGGAGGCGUUACCCGCAGAAGAAGCACCGGCUAACUCCGUGCCAGCAGCCGCGGUAAUUC